UCUCCGUUGGUGAACCAGCGGAGGGAUCAUUAUCGAGUUUAUAACUCCCAAACCCUAUGUGAACUUACCACUUGUUGCUUCGGCGCGCGCUUCGGCGCCGCCGAGGACACUUAAACUCUUUGUUUUUAUAAGCAUUUCUGAGUGGCCGAAAGGCAAAAUACAAAUGAAUCAAAACUUUCAACAACGGAUCUCUUGGUUCUA
rnacentral:misc_RNA from 1 species